CAGUCACAUGAGCAAAUCAGCUUUCUCAUGACUUAAUCCAAUUCAACUUUGAUCUCUGAUCAUUCGUCUUUAAGAGAGUCUCGGCACGGCACUUUUGAAAGGUCACUAAAGAUCACCAUGAUCAUGCAACUUCUUGUCUCAAUCUGGCUUCCCAUGAAGUCCUAUCCACAGGGAGAGAGUCUCACACUCCGUUACAUUGAGAAUAUGGAGCUUUUUGUGGCUCCAGAGAACAGUAUGAACGAAUCACAAUCUGGCAUCAUACGUGAGUGUCUUGCGAGUUUGGUUCCGGUGAGUCAGUGCCCAGGUUUUAACACAUCUCUACUUGGCAAACUGGAUAUCCAAACCAGCCCCCAGGGGAAGUGAUGCUCCACCACCCACCCCACCCCAUGGCACCCCACGUUUCCAGGGGGCUUCUCUAAACACUGAAGUGGUCAGAGAUCCCCUAACGCACAUAGCAGAAGCCGCACCUGUUUUGCCUUCUCUUAUCGACAACGUGAUUUACAUCAAUGUAAACUUAUUUCCUCUCUCACUGUCUCUUCCCUUCCCUCUCCUAUCACGGGUAGACUAGCCGCAGCCCACGGGCUGUCUCUGGUGCCUCCUGCUGCCCCCGCAGCCAGCCGCGCUCCAGGGUGUGCGAAGCCCCUCUCUGCAUACAGCCGGCCGAGCGCACACCCUUUCUUUCCAGUUCUCUGUUUUGCCAGGUUAACUGCCACCACAGACGGGGGGCGGGCUGAGCACGCUGACCGGGUGCCUAUCUUGGAGUCACCCCCAUGACCUGCCGGCUUCCCUCGGUCCCUGCUCUGAUGACACAGGAUGACAGCGUGUUUGAGUAUUUCCACAGGCUGACGCUUUCCCAAGGGCCAACACCUCUGUGUAAAGAGCCUGAGCCCAACCCCGGGUCCAACAGAGCGCUGAGAUAAGCUGUCGCGGGAGCCCGGGCUGGGGACUUUCGAGGUUUAUGAUGUCAGCGGGCUGCAGAGAGCCUCGAGCAGGGUCCAGACGCUGCGGAUUCCUGCAGAACACGGGUGGCCACGGGACCCUCCACACUGGCUGUCGGGCAAAGCUGAGUUCUCCCCUCUGCAUUGGAGGUGGGGCUGGCCGGGCUGGUGGGGCAGGUGGCAGAAAGUCCAAAACUCUCCUUUGGGGAUAAAGGGAAGCUACGUGAUGGUUCCGCAGUUCACCAGAACGCUCCAGGCCUGAUCCUCCUGGACCGGCUACGGAAGCAGGACAGAUCAUGGCAAGAUUUCUGAAACUGCCCGCCCCCCCGAAGUCCCAGCCAGACAGAGGACUCAGAAUUGACCCAUUAAUAUUUAAACCACAGUGGCCACUCACCAUCAGGUGACGGCAGAAGGCAGCGGAGCUGGCCAGCAGCUGCCCCAGAAAUCCUGUCCUCAAACUGCCAAGGUCAGUGCACUGUGGACUCCAGUAGCUUCCUGGAGCUCACUGGGAAAAGCCGGGGUAAGCAUGGUACCUACGUCCUCGGCUCAACAGAAAAUUCCCUCGGAAGACCCUCAGGCACCAGUUAGCACGGCAAAGUCGGGAUUCCAAAGUGAACAGCGGGUGCCUUUCGGGACACUCGCACGUGGCCACCUCAAUGAUACGUCCCAAUGAAUAAUUGGAUGUUAUUGAAACUCUCCUUGUUCGGAGCCGAGGACUGCAUAGAGCCCAACCCACCUGGCGAUCGUGUUCUUCCAAUUUUAACGGCGGAAUCAUUCAUAAAUAAGAAACGGCUUCUUGUUUUGUAUGAAUCAAUUCACAAGAUAAAUAUUUAAAUAAAAUGUGGCUUCAAUUGUGCUCUCGGAUGAUAA